rnacentral:rRNA from 1 species
GACGAACGCUGGCGGCGUGCCUAAUACAUGCAAGUCGAACGCUGAAGGAGGAGCUUGCUUCUCUGGAUGAGUUGCGAACGGGUGAGUAACGCGUAGGUAACCUGCCUGGUAGCGGGGGAUAACUAUUGGAAACGAUAGCUAAUACCGCAUAAGAGUAGAUGUUGCAUGACAUUUGCUUAAAAGGUGCAAUUGCAUCACUACCAGAUGGACCUGCGUUGUAUUAGCUAGUUGGUGGGGUAACGGCUCACCAAGGCGACGAUACAUAGCCGGCCGGAGAGGGGGGUCGGCCAAACUGGGACUGGGACACGGCCCAGACUCCUACGGGAGGGAGCAGGAGGGGAACUUCGGCAAUGGGCGGAAAUCUGACCGAGCAACGCCGCGGUAGUGAAGAAGGUUUUCGGAUCGUAAAGCUCUGUUGUAAGAGAAGAAAGAGUGUGAGAGUGAAAAGUUCACACUGUGACGGUAUCUUACCAGAAAGGGACGGCUAACUACGUG